UGCAGUCGAACGCUUUUUCUUUCACCGGAGCUUGCUCCACCGAAAGAAAAAGAGUGGCGAACGGGUGAGUAACACGUGGGUAACCUGCCCAUCAGAAGGGGAUAACACUUGGAAACAGGUGCUAAUACCGUAUAACACUAUUUUCCGCAUGGAAGAAAGUUGAAAGGCGCUUUUGCGUCACUGAUGGAUGGACCCGCGGUGCAUUAGCUAGUUGGUGAGGUAACGGCUCACCAAGGCAACGAUGCAUAGCCGACCUGAGAGGGUGAUCGGCCACACUGGGACUGAGACACGGCCCAGACUCCUACGGGAGGCAGCAGUAGGGAAUCUUCGGCAAUGGACGAAAGUCUGACCGAGCAACGCCGCGUGAGUGAAGAAGGUUUUCGGAUCGUAAAACUCUGUUGUUAGAGAAGAACAAGGAUGAGAGUAAAAUGUUCAUCCCUUGACGGUAUCUAACCAGAAAGCCACGGCUAACUACGUGCCAGCAGCCGCGGUAAUACGUAGGUGGCAAGCGUUGUCCGGAUUUAUUGGGCGUAAAGCGAGCGCAGGCGGUUUCUUAAGUCUGAUGUGAAAGCCCCCGGCUCAACCGGGGAGGGUCAUUGGAAACUGGGAGACUUGAGUGCAGAAGAGGAGAGUGGAAUUCCAUGUGUAGC
rnacentral:rRNA from 1 species